AGGGCCCUACGGGGGGCAGCAGUGGGGAAUAUUGGGCAAUGGACGCAAGUCUGACCCAGCAACGCCGCGUGAAGGAAGAAGGCUUUCGGGUUGUAAACUUCUUUUAAGAGGGAAGAGAAGAAGACGGUACCUCUUGAAUAAGCCACGGCUAACUACGUGCCAGCAGCCGCGGUAAUACGUAGGUGGCAAGCGUUGUCCGGAUUUACUGGGCGUAAAGGGCGUGCAGCCGGGCUGACAAGUCAGAUGUGAAAUCCCGCGGCUCAACCGCGGAACUGCAUUUGAAACUGUCAGUCUUGAGUACCGGG
rnacentral:rRNA from 1 species